CCCUACGGCCAUGUGGCAUGUUGGAUACACCCGAUCCCUCGACCUGGAAAUUAAGCAACACGUAGUCCGGUCAGCUCUUGGAUGGGAGACCACCCAAGGAUGACCGGAUGCUGUAGCCA
rnacentral:rRNA from 1 species